CCCCUACUAAAUUUGAUCACAUGUUUGUCUCUGGUGUUGUUAAUUUCAUGAUGAUAUUAUUUUAGUUAUUCAAUGUUGUAGAACUUCAGCACUUUGUUGUUUUGGAACAUGUUGACCCACACUACAAAUUGUUAACUGGUCUUAUGUGUAUAUGUUCGGCUUCUUCGGUUUGGGCUGAACGGAACCGAAAUGAUUAUAACAUAUAUGCAUGACCGAGGAAUUUGUAGUUUUGAGUUAGCCUAAGAGAAAUUUGAGAUUACAUUAAAACUUGCACCGCUUAACAUGCUAUUGCACUGUAUAAAUUUUAAGAUUAAACUCAAAGGUUUGCUUUGUAGAUUCUUGACAAUAUUUGUAUAUUACUAAUUUGGAACAUUCUUAGACUGUGUUGUGCUAUUUUUAUUAAGGGUUGUACACUUUGUUGAUGAAUUGGGAUGUUGACGGAAAGCUAUCCUCACCGACUCUCGAUGAAUGCUUCAGGUUAUGUUGAUAUGGUUUGAGUAUUCAUACUCCUCGGAUGAAGAAGUUAUUCAACAUUUGUCAAGUGCACUUGUACUGAUGAUCCACACAAAAAGAUGGAUCCAAGAUUGGGACUCUCUACAUUAAGCAUGGCAGUGCCAAGGAAAAGGAAUGAAGGGUCGUGUCAAUAUAAUAGCUUUAUGAGAUUUGGUACUAUGUUCAGAGUGAUCGAAAGUUGCCAUCAUUGUAUCUUCUCGACGGUAUUGUGAAGAACAUUGGGUGGGAUUGCAUUAAACACUUUUCGACCAAACUCCCCGAGGUUUUCGGUAAGACGUAUAGACAUGUUGAUUCUACACUACAUUUAAUGGGAUAUAUUUUCCGGACUUAGAAAGGAGUGUUUCCUCAUCAAACGCUUCACUCAAUAGAGAAAGAACUCGGUUUACAAUUAGUUAGGAACGGAUCAACUUUAACUUCAAUCAAACGCUUCAUUUGAAUUUGAUAUUUACGUUAGUAUACAAUGAGAUUUACUGUUGCAUGCUUACCCAUGUUAUUCUUUAAAAGUAAUAUGAU